rnacentral:rRNA from 1 species
UACGAAGGGGGCUAGCGUUGUUCGGAAUCACUGGGCGUAAAGGGCGCGUAGGCGGCCGAUCAAGUCGGGGGUGAAAGCCUGUGGCUUAACCACAGAAUGGCCUUCGAUACUGUUUGGCUUGAGACCGGAAGAGGUUAGUGGAACUGCGAGUGUAGAGGUGAAAUUCGUAGAUAUCAGAGGAACACCGGUGGCGAAGGCGGGCCACUGG